ACGGGUGAGUAACACGUAGGCAACCUGCCCACCAGACGGGGAUAACGACCGGAAACGGUAGCUAAUACCGGAUAGAUCCUGUCGCCGCAUGGCGAGAGGAAGAAAGGCGGCUUGGGCUGUCGUUGGUGGAAGGGCCUGCGGCGCAUUAGCUAGUUGGUAGAGUAACGGCCUACCAAGGCGACGAUGCGUAGCCGACCUGAGAGGGUGAACGGCCACACUGGGACUGAGACACGGCCCAGACUCCUACGGGAGGCAGCAGUAGGGAAUCUUCCGCAAUGGGCGCAAGCCUGACGGAGCAACGCCGCGUGAGUGAAGAAGGUUUUCGGAUCGUAAAGCUCUGUUGCCAGGGAAGAACGACUUUUGGAGGAACUGCCUGAAGAGUGACGGUACCUGAGAAGAAAGCCCCGGCUAACUACGUGCCAGCAGCCGCGGUAAUACGUAGGGGGCAAGCGUUGUCCGGAAUUAUUGGGCGUAAAGCGCGCGCAGGCGGCCGUUUAAGUCCGGUGUAUAAGCCCGGGGCUCAACCCCGGAUCGCACGGGAAACUGGAGGGCUUGAGAACAGCAGAGGAGAGUGGAA
rnacentral:rRNA from 1 species